rnacentral:tRNA from 1 species
GAGGGUACAGCUCAGUGGUAGAGUGCGUGCUUAGCAUGCACGAGGUCCUGGGUUCAAUCCCUAGUGCCUUUG